UACGUAGGGGGCAAGCGUUGUCCGGAAUUAUUGGGCGUAAAGCGCGCGCAGGCGGUUCAUUAAGUCUUCUGUUUAAUGCAUGGGCUCAACCCGUGUUCGCAGGGGAAACUGGUGGACUGGAGUGCAGGAGAGGAAAGUGGAAUUCCACGUGUAGCGGUGAAAUGCGUAGAGAUGUGGAGGAACACCAGUGGCGAAGGCGACUUUCUGGCCUGUAACUGACGCUGAGGCGCGAAAGCGUGGGGAGCAAACAGG
rnacentral:rRNA from 1 species